GGGAAGGGGGGCAAUGAGGGGUGACUAAUUUCCUGCCUUGCCAAAACCACUGAAUCUGCCUGGGGUCUCCUUUCUGAUUUUGAUGGCACCAGAAAUAACAAAGAGAAGAUGUGGAAAAUGCUGUGUUUUUUUUUUUUUAAGCAUAUGUACUAUGAAAUAAAGAAUGCAUGCUGUAUGAUGAAA